AUUGAACGCUGGCGGCAGGCCUAACACAUGCAAGUCGAACGAGUGGCGGACGGGUGAGUAAUGUCUGGGAAACUGCCUGAUGGAGGGGGAUAACUACUGGAAACGGUAGCUAAUACCGCAUACCAUCGGAUGUGCCCAUAAGGGAUUAGCUAGUAGGUGGGGUAACGGCUCACCUAGGCGACGAUCCCUAGCUGGUCUGAGAGGAUGACCAGCCACACUGGAACUGAGACACGGCCCAGACUCCUACGGGAGGCAGCAGUGGGGAAUAUUGCACAAUGGGCGCAAGCCUGAUGCAGCCAUGCCGCGUGUAUGAAGAAGGCCUUCGGGUUGUAAAGCUCUUUCAGUGGGGAGGCGUUAACCGCAGAAGAAGCACCGGCUAACUCCGUGCCAGCAGCCGCGGUAAUUC
rnacentral:rRNA from 1 species